rnacentral:rRNA from 1 species
GACGAACGCUGGCGGCGUGCCUAAUACAUGCAAGUCGAGCGCAGGAAGCCGUCUGAACCCUUCGGGGGGACGACGGUGGAAUGAGCGGCGGACGGGUGAGUAACACGUAAAGAACCUGCCCAUAGGUCUGGGAUAACCACGAGAAAUCGGGGCUAAUACCGGAUGUGUCAUCGGACCGCAUGGUCCGAUGAUGAAAGGCGCUCCGGCGUCGCCCAUGGAUGGCUUUGCGGUGCAUUAGCUAGUUGGUGAGGUAACGGCCCACCAAGGCGACGGUGCAUGGCCGACCUGGGAGGGUGAUCGGCCACACUGGGACUGAGACACGGCCCAGACUCCUACGGGAGGCAGCAGUAGGGAAUCUUCCACAAUGGACGAAAGUCUGAUGGAGCAACGCCGCGUGAACGAUGAAGGCUUUCGGGUCGUAAAGUUCUGUUGUAAGGGAAGAACAAGUGCCGCAGGCAAUGGCGGCACCUUGACGGUACCUUGCGAGAAAGCCACGGCUAACUACGUGCCAGCCGCCGCCGUAA